GUGAACCUUUUGCUGAAUUCUGAAAAUGUACGCCCCUGUCUCCAAUAUGAUGGAUUUAUUUCUGUGAAUAUACCUGGUGUUCUAUGGCUUCUAAGGGGCUUCAGAGUGAGGAAGAAGGGUGGCCAUUCUAAGAUGAAUUAAUGUGCCAUCUGGAAACCUGAGAUCAUGCCAUAAAAGGAAUUUUGGCUUUUUUUUGGCAACCAGUCAUCAGGAUAUGCUGUGACUGCACCUUAUCAGAAUAAUGAAACAUAAUUAGAAAGGUGUAUUAACUCCUGUGCUUCAAAGAAUUUUUAUAUUUGGAAUUUUAUAUGCACUUUGAAAAUAAAAUAAAAUACUUUAAAUUUA
rnacentral:lncRNA from 1 species